rnacentral:rRNA from 1 species
UGGGGAAUAUUGCACAAUGGGCGCAAGCCUGAUGCAGCCAUGCCGCGUGUAUGAAGAAGGCCUUCGGGUUGUAAAGUACUUUCAGCGAGGAGGAAGGCGUUGUGGUUAAUAACCGCAGCGAUUGACGUUACUCGCAGAAGAAGCACCGGCUAACUCCGUGCCAGCAGCCGCGGUAAUACGGAGGGUGCAAGCGUUAAUCGGAAUUACUGGGCGUAAAGCGCACGCAGGCGGUCUGUCAAGUCGGAUGUGAAAUCCCCGGGCUCAACCUGGGAACUGCAUCCGAAACUGGCAGGCUAGAGUCUUGUAGAGGGGGGUAGAAUUCCAGGUGUAGCGGUGAAAUGCGUAGAGAUCUGGAGGAAUACCGGUGGCGAAGGCG